CAAGUUUUCAUCUUUUUCCUUUAAGGUUACUUAUAGGGGAGGAGCAGAUUUUCCAACUGCUCACAUCUCCUUGUCUUAUGUUUUUUGUCAAUAGUCUGUUUCUUAUCACUGUUCACAGUGAUAAGAGUCUCAAGUUUGCACCGCUACUAAGGAAGCUGGUUGGUAGUUCUUAAAAAAAAUGACGAGCGAAAGUAAAUUGCAGCUGGUUUGUCUUCAAGAUUAUGAAGAACAUGCGAGCCAGAUUCUUCCACCGUUCGUUUUGGACUUUUACAGGGGUGGAGCCGAUCAAGAACAAACUCUUCGAGACAACCGUGAAGCCUUCAAACGAUGGCGAUUGAUGCCCCGAGUUCUUCGAGGAGUAGAACACCGUUUAAUGGCUACCACCGCGCUCGGAUACCCCAUGUCUGCUCCUAUUGGUAUUGCACCAACUGCAAUGCAGAAAAUGGCUCACGAAAUGGGCGAACUCGCUACUGCAAAAGCGGCAUCCGACGAAGGAAUUGUUUACGUAUUGAGUACUGUAGCCACUAGUACGAUUGAAGAAGUUUCCGAAGCGGCUCCUAAAGGCAACAACUGGUUUCAACUCUACAUCUACAAAGAUCGCCAGGUCACUGUCGAUAUGGUUCGGCGUGCUGAGCAGGCGAAUUUUAAAGCUCUCGUUGUGACCGUCGAUACUGUCAUUCUUGGCCGACGAUUAGCUACCGAGCGGAAUGAAUUAAGUAAUACAGGAAGUUCAUCGUCCAAUAACUUUGUGGCUUCCCUAUUUGAUCCAAGUUUAACCUGGAAGGAUAUUAGCUGGCUUAAAAGUAUUACAAAAAUGCCAAUCGUGGUGAAAGGAAUUCUGAGACCUGACGAUGCUGAAUUAGCUGUUCAACAUGGCGUGGCGGCGAUUGCAGUUUCGAACCAUGGCGGAAGGCAACUUGACGGAGUUCCAGCCACGAUCGAUGCGCUUCCUGCUAUUGUUAAACAAGUGAAUGGUCGCUGUGAAGUUUUCGUUGAUGGUGGCAUCACCCAAGGAACGGAUGUGUUCAAGGCAUUAGCCCUCGGUGCACGCAUGGUUUUCUUUGGUCGCCCUACAUUGUGGGGUCUUGCACACAGUGGUGAAGCUGGAGUGGUCAGCAUUAUCCGUUUGCUGAAAAAGGAAUUAGACUUGGCUAUGGCACUAUCGGAUCCUAUCCAGAGUGGCGGACGUAUCCAUUGUAUUUGCCGUAUUCUUCGUCCUUGUAGCUGGUUUCGUUGCUCUGCCUUUAGAUGCCUUGGAUUUUUCGCCUUUUGGUUCGUAUUCCUUCGCCUCUUCAGAGUCUUGACCUUUCUUGUAGCCUUUAGGAGCCUUGGAUUUUUCGCCUUUUGAUCUCAUUUGGUGGAGGUGUAUACGUGUCCUUCAUAAUUACAUUAUGACGACAAGAAGAUAGAUGGGACCUUCGGAUCUUUAUUCACGACAACAGUUUUUUAACAAAUGGGGCGAGUGAUGUCGUCAGCUUAAUCUUAUUUGAUGGAUAGCUAGGAAUGUUACCAAAUAAUUUUCAACUUUCAAGGAACAACCCUCUGAACCGAAAAAG
rnacentral:misc_RNA from 1 species